UUGGCGGCCCCAAGAGGAGCCCCUGCUGGGCAGGGUUAGGAUCCACCUCUUCCAAGCUGUCGGUGCUGAGCCAUUCCCGCUCCACGGUACCGCAGCUGGGGCUCCCGGGAGAAAAGCGAGGGCUUCAUGGGCAAAUACGUCUGGGAAGCACCAAGGGGGUCGACAGAUACUGGCCCUGGGGGACCCCUCAGGACGCUGACAGCGCCACCUGCACCGUACACCUCCCAGGGACCGCAGAGUCAGCAGGACUCCCCUAGCAUAAGCGGCCAGGGCAACUGGGUGCAGCGGACGUUCACGACCACCAGUCCGACCAGACACAAUAAGGGACCGCCUCUCCCAGAAAGGGACUGCGGCAGCCUGAGACCGUGGCCAAGCCCAGGUGAAUCCAGGAAGCCGGACCAUAAGCAGCCCAGAGGUAAGGGUAGACUCUGCGCAAUCUGAAACUGAGUCCCAGACCCACGCUCAUGGAUGGAGCCAUUACUGCAAACGGUAUGUCUCUGGUGCCUCAGUUUCCCCACCUCUACAGUGAGAAUGAUAACCACGGAGUUUUAUUCUCAGUACUGAGACUGAACCAGGGCCGUCACAUGGAGUGACAUUCCUGGCCAUGUUUCUUUCUUUUUUACGAAAUAGGACCUCUCUAAACUGCUACGUUGUGCAGGCUGGACUCGGACUCAGGAUCCUCCUGCCUGCGGCUCCCAGGGCGCCGGGAUCACUGGUGUGGCCGCCACGCCGGCUCCACCGGCGAGUGUCACACACCACAGCGCGUGUGAGGUGCCAGGUGGGGACCGGACACGGUGGCCGCGGUCGCUGCUGCUACGCUCCCAGCCCCGCUGUCAUCUCUGCCCAGCGACAGCUCCCCGGUGAGCCAAGGGCCUGAGGUAACUCCUGUCAGACAGAGCAUGGGGUUCCCCGUGGAAGCGGGAGGCACCUCCCCAAGCCCAGAUCUGGAAACCUCAGGGGAGGAAGCUGAGAGACCCGGCCCAGGCUCCUUUCUCCUGCAGGUACUGGCUGUGCCUGUCUGAGCUUCAGUGCCUGUGUUUGUCCAGCGGGGGCACCGCUAUUGACCUCUGCCCAGGACGUCACCAAUAACAAGGCGGCUGUCCCACAGUGGAAGACCAUCUUUGGUCCAGCGGAUGUCAGGGUCUGGAUCACCACGGACCACGCAGUCUAGCUGGAUGCUGCCCCCUACAGGCUCCACCAGGGGGCAAAUGACUCGUCCGGGCAGCAGAACGACGGAGCGACCCAGUGACCACCAAGCCUGGCCGGCAGCCAAACCCAGCCACCCGCUCCAUGGCCUCCGACUCAGCACUGGGCACCCAGAUGGGAUCUCAGGCUUCGGUUCCCAUCACCAGGAACUGUGCGGAGCCCGGUUACGCGAGGGACAGGCCACGGGAUCCAGGAGGGCUUCCUGGAGGAGGGUCCAGCCCGCCUC